GACGAACGCUGGCGGCGUGCUUAACACAUGCAAGUCGAACGAGUGGCGAACGGGUGAGUAAUACGGGGGUAACCUUGCCUCUUUUUGGGAUAAGCCUUGGAAACGGGGUCUAAUACCUAAUAAAGGUGGAUGGGCCCGCGGCCAAUUAGCUUGUUGGUGGGGUGAUGGACUACCAAGGCGGUGACGGGUAGCCGGCCUGAGAGGGUGACCAGCCACACGGGGACUGAGACACGGCCCAGACUCCUACGGGAGGCAGCAGUGGGGAAUAUUGCACAAUGGGCGCAAGCCUGAUGCAGCCAUGCCGCGUGUAUGAAGAAGGCCUUAGGGUUGUAAAGUACUUUCAGCGGGGAGGCGUUACCCGCAGAAGAAGCACCGGCUAACUCCGUGCCAGCAGCCGCGGUAAUUC
rnacentral:rRNA from 1 species